rnacentral:rRNA from 1 species
CGUGUAGGCGGGCGUGCAAGUCAGGCGUGAAAUCCCUGGGCUCAACCCAGGAAUUGCACUUGAAACUGCACGUCUUGAGUAUCGGAGAGGAAAGUGGAAUUCCUGGUGUAGAGGUGAAAUUCGUAGAUAUCAGGAGGAACACCGGUGGCGAAGGCGGCUUUCUGGACGAUAACUGACGCUGAGACGCGAAAGCGUGGGGAGCAAACAGGAUUAGAUACCCUGGUAGUCCACGCUGUAAACGAUGAACACUAGGUGUCGUGGGUAUUGACCCCCGCGGUGCCGCAGCUAACGCAUUAAGUGUUCCGCCUGGGAAGUACGGUCGCAAGACUAAA